UACAGAGGUCUCAAGCGUUGUUCGGAUUUACUGGGCGUAAAGGGCGCGUAGGCGGUCAGCACAAGUCAGUUGUGAAAUCUCCGAGCUUAACUCGGAAAGGUCAACUGAUACUGUGCGACUAGAGUGCAGAAGGGGCAACUGGAAUUCUUGGUGUAGCGGUGAAAUGCGUAGAUAUCAAGAGGAACACCUGCGGCGAAGGCGGGUUGCUGGGCUGACACUGACGCUGAUGCGCGAAAGCCAGGGGAGCGAACGGG
rnacentral:rRNA from 1 species